rnacentral:misc_RNA from 1 species
AGCAUAUUCAAUGCAUAACACUGAGAAAGGUGACACGGCCAAAUAUAAGAUAUAUAAGAUAUUUGCCACUCAUUUAUCAUUUCUUGAACCCACAAUUGUGCAGAUGGAGUUAUGACUUGUGAGUUACUGCUGUUGCUGUUUUGUCACGAAAUGCAUCAGAUUUUCAGGGUCAGAAUAAUUUUCAGGGUCAGAAUUGUUAUUCACUGGUCUUUUCAUAUUGAUCUCAAGUGAGCCGUUCAAGUAAUAUCAUUCAAUUAAGAUGCAUAAACAUGUUCAUUCUCUGACCAGGUAUUUUCCAUUGUUUUCCAAUUGUAAUUUGCUGUGAUUUUGUGAGAUAUGAGAGUUGGCAACGGUAAAUGUUCAAACUUGUGAAGCUCCUAGGUGUUUUU